rnacentral:rRNA from 1 species
AUUGAACGCUGGCGGUAGGCCUAACACAUGCAAGUCGAACGGCAGCACAGUAAAAGCUUGCUCUUACUGGUGGCGAGUGGCGGACGGGUGAGGAAUACAUCGGAAUCUACUUUUUCGUGGGGGAUAACGUAGGGAAACUUACGCUAAUACCGCAUACGACCUACGGGUGAAAGCAGGGGAUCUUCGGACCUUGCGCGAUUGAAUGAGCCGAUGUCGGAUUAGCUAGUUGGCGGGGUAAAGGCCCACCAAGGCGACGAUCCGUAGCUGGUCUGAGAGGAUGAUCAGCCACACUGGAACUGAGACACGGUCCAGACUCCUACGGGAGGCAGCAGUGGGGAAUAUUGGACAAUGGGCGCAAGCCUGAUCCAGCAAUACCGCGUGGGUGAAGAAGGCCUUCGGGUUGUAAAGCCCUUUUGUUGGGAAAGAAAAGCAGCAGGUUAAUACCCCGCUGUUCUGACGGUACCCAAAGAAUAAGCACCGGCUAACUUCGUG